UAGUCCACGCCGUAAACGAUGCUCACUCGUUGUUUGCGAUACACAGUAAGCGACUGGGGGAAACCAUUAAGUGAGCCACCUGGGGAGUACGUUGGCAACAAUGAAACUCAAAGGAAUUGACGGGGGCCCGCACAAGCGGAGGAACAUGUGGUUUAAUUCGAUGGUACGCGAGGAACCUUACCUAGGCUAUAAUGUGAGCGCUAUCUGGUGAAAGCCGGAGUUCCUUCGGGACGCGAAACAAGGUGCUGCAUGGUUGUCGUCAGCUCGUGCCGUGAGGUGUUGGGUUAAGUCCCGCAACGAGCGCAACCCCUAUUGUUAGUUGCCAGCGAGUAAUGUCGGGGACUCUAACGAGACUGCCCGCGUAAGCGGAGAGGAAGGUGGGGACGACGUCAAAUCAUCAUGGCCUUUAUGCCUAGGGCUACACACGUGCUACAAUGGUAGGUACAGAGGGUUGCGAAGGGGUGACCUGGAGCGUAAUCUCAGAAAGCCUAGUCCCAGUUCGGAUUGGAGUCUGCAACUCGA
rnacentral:rRNA from 1 species